rnacentral:tRNA from 1 species
UUAAAGUGCAGUGAAUAUUUCAUUCUGGGCUGUGGAACCAGAGAAGGGACCUCCCCACUUUAAA